UACGGAGGGUGCAAGCGUUGUUCGGAAUCACUGGGCGUAAAGCGCGUGUAGGCGGCUUUUUAAGUCUGAUGUGAAAGCCCUGGGCUUAACCCAGGAAGUGCAUUGGAUACUGGGUAGCUCGAGUACCGGAGAGGAGGGUGGAAUUCCUGGUGUAGCGGUGAAAUGCGUAGAUAUCAGGAGGAACACCGGUGGCGAAGGCGUCCCUCUGGCCGGAUACUGACGCUGAGACGCGAAAGCGUGGGGAGCAAACAGG
rnacentral:rRNA from 1 species